rnacentral:rRNA from 1 species
AUUGAACGCUGGCGGCAUGCCUUACACAUGCAAGUCGAACGGUAACAGGUCUUCGGAUGCUGACGAGUGGCGAACGGGUGAGUAAAGUAUCGGAACGUGCCCAGUCGUGGGGGAUAACGUAGCGAAAGUUACGCUAAUACCGCAUACGAUCUAUGGAUGAAAGCGGGGGAUCGCAAGGCCUCGCGCGAUUGGAGCGGCCGAUGUCAGAUUAGGUAGUUGGUGGGGUAAAGGCCCACCAAGCCAACGAUCUGUAGCUGGUCUGAGAGGGCGACCAGCCACACUGGGACUGAGACACGGCCCAGACUCCUACGGGAGGCAGCAGUGGGGAAUUUUGGACAAUGGGCGCAAGCCUGAUCCAGCAAUGCCGCGUGCAGGAAGAAGGCCUUCGGGUUGUAAACUGCUUUUGUACGGAACGAAACGGUCUGGGUUAAUACCCUGGGCUAAUGACGGUACCGUAAGAAUAAGCACCGGCUAACUACGUGCCAGCCGCCGCGGUAA